GACGUAGGGCGCGAGCGUUGUCCGGAUUUAUUGGGCGUAAAGAGCUCGUAGGCGGCUUGUUGCGUCGCUGUGAAAACCCGCGGCUUAACCGCGGGCCUGCAGCCCGAUACGGGCAGACUAGAGGUAGGCAGGGGAGAGCGGAACUCCUGGUGUAGCGGUGGAAUGCGCAGAUAUCAGGAAGAACACCGGUGGCGAAGGCGGCUCUCUGGGACGGUACUGACGCUGAGACACGAAAGCGUGGGGAGCGAACAGG
rnacentral:rRNA from 1 species